AUUACCAUUUUAUUUUCUCUCCGUCCUCACUCAGUACAAAAACCUUAUAUAACACAUCCAGGCAUUAAGUAACAAGCCCAUGAGCCAAUAAGUGGAGCGAGGACCCUUCCUUACAACACUCUAUAUACUAUUAUCAACCCUUGCCCACUCUCGUCUCAGCCUCCUCCUUACAUGACAGGCCAUAUAGGUUGUAAAGAAGCCAGAAACGGUAGUAGCGACAGCCAUCUCAAACACCCUAUUAUUCUCUGUUUGUGCCUUCCGACCACCUCCUUACAUUACAAAGCCAUAUGAAUUGUCAAGAAGCCAGAUACGGUAGCAGCGACAGCCUUCACAAACGUCCUAUAUCUGUUCUUGCAUUCUGACCCUCUUCUUACGUCACAAAGCUAUGGGUCAUUCAGAUACGACAAAGAGUAAGAACAGAGGCUGCCUUCACGGAUUUCUAUAUUUUCUGUUUAUGUUUCGAUUUAGUGUUUCUUGUAGUAUUGUGUUGUAUUAGUAAUGUAUUGUAGUAUUUUCUCUUCCUGUGUUCCUGGUUUGAUAAGAAUGAAAUUGUGAAGAGAGUGUACAAGGGAGGGAUUGAGGGAGGGGAGGUGAAGUGGACCAGUAGGGUGAGCGAGUAUUGGAGCGAGAGUUGGUAGCAGCAGGAUUGAGUGUGGUGAGAGGGAGUGCCAGAACAGGGAGAGAUGGAGACACUUCUGCCGCGGCCACCCCCUGGAGGGAAGUUCACGUGAGGGAGGGAGAUGUCAGAGAUUUAGACAGAUAGAUAGUGUUCCGAGUUAGUGUUUCUUGUAGUCUUGUGUUGUAUUGCUAGGGAUGGAGGGUGUGGGCAUUCAUACCUAUACAAAAUUGGAGUAUUUGCAUAUUUUUGUCGCUUCUAGAAAUAAUAACUUGAGUUUCAGCAUUUUCCUUCCCUCAGAGGAUUAAGAUUACAAUAACUUUACAAUAAUCUGAAUUCCAUGGGUCAGAAAACCCUAAUAGUUGUAAGAAAAUAAUUUGAGAUUCAGUUUAUUCCUUCCCUCUGAGGAUUAAAAUUAUAAUAACUUUACAAUAAUCUGAAUUCCAUGGGUCAGAAAAUCCUAAUAGUUGUAAGAAAAUAAUUUGAGAUUCAGUUUAUUCCUUCCCUCUGAGGAUUAAAAUUACAAUAACUUUACAAUAAUCUGAAUUCCAUGGGUCAGGAAAUUCCAAAUAUAGUAAAGAAAUAAUUUGAGAUUCAGUUUAUUCCUUCCCUCAGAGGAUUAAAAUUACAAUAACUUUACAAUAAUCUGAAUUCCAUGGGUCAGGAAAUUCCAAAUAUAGUAAAGAAAUAAUUUGAGAUUCAGUUUAUUCCUUCCCUCAGAGGAUUGAAAUUACAUCAAAGUUACAUUAAUCUGAAUUCCAUGGGUCAGGAAAUUCCAAAUAUAGUUAGGAAAUAAUUUGAGAUUUAGUUUAUUCCUUCCCUCAGAGGAUUAAAAUUACAAUAACUUUACAUUAAUCUGAAUUCCAUGGGUCAGGAAAUUCCAAAUAUAGUUAGGAAAUAAUUUGAGAUUAAGUUUAUUCCUUCCCUCAGAGGAUUAAAAUUACAAUAACUUUACAUUAAUCUGAAUUCCAUGGGUGAGAGAAUCCUAAUAGUUGUAAGAUAAUAAUUUGAGAUUCAGUUUAUUCCUUCCCUCAGAGGAUUAAAAUUACAGCAAAGUUAUGUUAAUCAGAGUUUCGUGGGUCAGAAAAUUCCAAAUAUAGUGAAGAAAUAAUCUGAGAUUCAUGUUAUUCCUUCCCUUAUAAGAUCCAAAAUACAGUACAAAUCCAUUAAUCUGAAUCCCAUGGGUAAAAAAAUCCUAGUUGUACAAUUUUCUUAUAAUGGGAGAGUAUAAUAAAAAGGCAGCAUCCCAGACUUCUGUUGAGAGGAAAAUAUAUAAUCUGAAAACACUUGUCUGGCUUGCUGGGAAUUAUAUAUAAACACGUAUUAGAAAAUUAGAUUAAAGAACAUUUGCUGGAUAUUUUCAACGGCACAAUGGAUGGAGUGGUUACAAUAGGCUUUAACCCCUUGACUGUGGAUUCCCUACCAGAAGACCUCACCAAGCUACAGGAAUGGAACAAAAAGUGGCUGCUACAAUUCAGGGAAGAAAAAUGUGAAGUCCUGCACCUUGGGAGGGGAAAUCCAGCAUACCAAUGCCACAUGGGAAACACCCCACUAUCCACCACAGAGGCAGAGAAAGACCUGGGACUAUAUGUUACCAGGCUAUCAGUGAAAGCCAAAUCCGUGCUGAUUGCAGCGGACGGGUUAAGAAGUGGAAUGUUUUCAGGGGGUUACAUAUAUUUACAUGUAUUAAAAAAUUAGAUUAACCCUUAGACGACGGUGGAACUGUAUAUAGACGGUCCAAAAUUCAGUCAGUCAGUUUUGUAUA